GCUGUAGCUCAGUGGUUACAGCACCUGCCUGUGGAUGCAGAAGCUCCCAGGUUCAUUCCCUGGCAUCUUCA